rnacentral:lncRNA from 1 species
GUUUGAAGGUCGGCUGGAUUUGAGUCUGUUGGUACGUAUUUCCAGUCGUAGUGUUGUGUCGUUUCUUUAAUUUCUAUCACACGAUUCUGAACAAAUCUUCCAAAUGAUUUUAAAGACGAAAUCCAGUGCAGAACGAUCUGACUGUCACUCCAUAGUACUGUGCGUUGUGGUUUUAGGGUUUUCGUGAGGUUUUUAGCCAUUCGAGCUCCUAUUACUGCAGCCAUCAAUUCUAGCUUUGGUAAUGUCAUUUUGGCGAGCGGAGCGAUCCGGUUUUUUGCAAUUACGAGAGAAGAAGUGUUUCCUUUACAUAAGUAGGCACUGGCUCCAUAAGCGCGUUGGCUGGCAUCAACAAAGACAUGUAAUGUUAUUUUCUCGUUGCUUUCGUUCUCAUUUUGAUCGUUGAAAUAAUGUCGUGCGAUUUUCGUAUUAACAGUUACAUCUCGGAUGUCAUCUAAAAUUUCAUACCAUGAUUUAACUAUGUUGCUAGGUAACACCUGGUCCCAAUCGUAUCCUUCUUUCCAUAAUGUUUGUAUCAGUAGCUUAGCUCUUACAGUCACUGGUCCAAGAAUUCCGAGUGGGUCGUAAAUUGACGAUGAUUUACGCAAUACUUCUCUCUUUGUCGCUUGUGAAUUAUCAAUAUCUAUACGAUC